AUUGUGAAAAUUAUUUUUAUUGAUUUUUCGUGUUUCCUUCAACAUUUGAUAUUUGCAAAGUUUUAAUAAUUUUACGUUAAUUAGAUUCUGAAUAGUGACGUCAAUUGGAACUUACUUAAAAAAUUUUUAAAAACAUUGCGUUCAACUCUGAACUUUGAUAUGCGCGCAUGACAAAAACCAGAGAGAGCAAAUGAGAGACAGUUGUCGUCUUCUCAGUACCGGUGUUCGCAGUAAUGAAACAACGACAUAAAACGAGAUAUACGAAUGUGAUAAUGAGGAGAGGACGGUAUCAGAAAUUCCCCAGAAACCAGCAAAUUUCGAAGAAUUCUAUAAUCAUGUUUCCAAUUGCAAACUCGUGGACACAGGGCACUGCGAGUACCUGCACAUAAAAAAUAUACACUUUCUCCUAGAAGACGUUGAGUACAUCGAAGAGGAACUCAAAUUAAUCACCGAUUACAACAAAUUACCUUGCCAAGUGCCUGGAGAUAGGUAAUUGGCACGGCUUUCUAAAAGCGUUCGUUACAACGUUGGAAAAGCUGCAAUCAGCACUUGCAAAUUAUUGAAUUUGAAAAUGAAAAAAAUUAUUGAAUUAUUACAUUACACGACCUCUUCAUAAGCAAUACUUGAACUCAAGAUAAAGUUACAUGUUUUAUGGG